rnacentral:tRNA from 1 species
GGAAGGUAGCCGAAUACGGUUCGUCGGGCCGGUUUGCUAAACCGUGCGGUCAUCAUGGCCAUGUGGGUUCAAAUCCCAUGCCUUCCG